rnacentral:rRNA from 1 species
AGUGGGGGAUAACGUAGCGAAAGUUACGCUAAUACCGCAUAUGCCCUGAGGGGGAAAGGAGGGGAUCGCAAGACCUUUCGCUUUCGGAGUGGCCGAUAUCGGAUUAGCUAGUAGGUGAGGUAAAGGCUCACCUAGGCGACGAUCCGUAGCUGGUCUGAGAGGACGACCAGCCACACUGGGACUGAGACACGGCCCAGACUCCUACGGGAGGCAGCAGUGGGGAAUUUUGGACAAUGGGCGCAAGCCUGAUCCAGCCAUGCCGCGUGAGUGAAGAAGGCCUUCGGGUUGUAAAGCUCUUUCGGACAGAAAGAAAUCCUAUCCGCUAAUACCGGGUGGGGAUGACGGUACUGUAAGAAGAAGCACCGGCUAACUACGUGCCAGCAGCCGCGGUAAUACGUAGGGUGCGAGCGUUAAUCGGAAUUACUGGGCGUAAAGCGUGCGCAGGCGGUUUGGUAAGACAGACGUGAAAUCCCCGGGCUUAACCUGGGAACUGCGUUUGUGACUGCAAGACUAGAGUGUAGCAGAGGGGGGUAGAAUUCCA